rnacentral:misc_RNA from 1 species
AGCAGCCGCGGUAAUUCCAGCUCCAAUAGCGUAUAUUAAAGUUGUUGCAGUUAAAAAGCUCAUAGUUGAAUUUCGGAAUCAAUAUGCUGGUCGUGCCAUUGGUACGUACUAGUAUUAUUGGUUUCUCCCUUCUGAUGAAUCAUGAUGUCAUUAAUUUGAUGUCAUGGGGAAUCAGGACUGUUACUUUGAAAAAUUAGAGUGUUUAAAGCAGGCUCGCGCUUGAAUACAUUAGCAUGGAAUAAUGAAAUAGGACGUUUGAUUCUAUUUGUUGGUUUCUAGGAUUGACGUAAUGAUUAAUAGGGAUAGUUGGGGGCAUUAGUAUUCAAUUGUCAGAGGUGAAAUUCUUGGAUUUAUUGAAGACUAACUACUGCGAAAGCAUUUGCCAAGGAUGUUUUCAUUAAUCAAGAACGAAAGUUAGGGAUCGAAGACGAUCAGAUACCGUCGUAGUC